rnacentral:rRNA from 1 species
CGUGUAGGCGGUCAGGUAAGCGGAAUGUGAAAUGCCCCGGCUCACCCGGGACCCGUGCAUCCCAAACCUAGCCUGGCUUGAGUAUGGGAGGAGGAUGGAGGAAUUCCUGGUGUAGCGGUGAAAUGCGUAGAUAUCAGGAGGAACACCGGUGGCGAAGGCGUCCAUCUGGCCCAAUACUGACGCUGAUGCGCGAAAGCUAGGGGAGCAAACGGGAUUAGAUACCCCGGUAGUCCUAGCCGUAAACGGUGAUCACUAGGUGUUGGGGGCGAUCGACCCCUCCAGUGCCGCAGCUAACGCAUUAAGUGAUCCGCCUGGGGAGUACGGCCGCAAGGUUGAA